rnacentral:tmRNA from 1 species
GGGGGUGCAUGGAUUCGACGGAGGUAUUGAAGUAUAAAGCGCCUAUAGAGGUGCCACUAACCUCUUAAAAAAGGUGGCAAAAAAAUUAACUGCUGACUACAAGUUAGCAUUGGCUGCUUAAAAGUAGCCACACUUUAUUAGUUUAGCCUGCGAAACUAAUAAGGUGCCGAAUAGCAGGAUAGCAUAGUUUACUUCACCUAAGGGUAAAUUAUGCGAAUCUUUACUUAGGUUAGCAAUAUCAAAUCCUGCCUUUGGGAGUUGAUAUUGCGAAGUUAAAACAAAGGAUACAUAGGUAGUGCUUUAUAUGGAUAUACUUUCGGACGUGGGUUCGAUUCCCACCACCUCCACCA